UACGUAGGUGGCAAGCGUUGUCCGGAUUUACUGGGCGUAAAGAGCGCGCAGGCGGUCGUUCAAGUCGCGUGUGAAAGCCCCCGGCUCAACUGGGGAGGGUCACGCGAUACUGAUCGACUUGAAGGCAGGAGAGGGAAGUGGAAUUCCGGGUGUAGUGGUGAAAUGCGUAGAUAUCCGGAGGAACACCAGUGGCGAAGGCGACUUCCUGGCCUGUUCUUGACGCUGAGGCGCGAAAGCUGGGGGAGCAAACGGG
rnacentral:rRNA from 1 species